ACAAAAGCUUGUGACUAGGCCCCUUUGUUCCCAGGAAACAGCAGACAGUGAGCCGCAGGGCAGGGCCUCUCCAUGCCGUGAAUUCCCGCUUGUCCUUUCUCACAUAAUCUCAAGUGAGGCUUAUUUACAGCUCCUUGUCUGCCUUCCACCGGGGUGGCACUGGAGUGCCUCCCUGGCUAUUCUCACCCCACAUCUCUUGGAGAUCGUUCCCUCUUAGGACACAUGGCCUUGCCUCAUUGGCUGGAGUGACUGCGUGGUAUUCCGUCUCAUGAGUGUGUCAUGAUGCAUUUAACCCUUCAUCCCCUGUGGAUGGAAGGUUAGGCUGGAUCCCGUCUUUUGCAACCUGAACAAUGUUGGAGAGAUACCAUUUGUGUGCUGGGGGAGACGCAGCCCUAGAAGUGAAGCUGAUGCAGCAAGGGGAGCCAGGGAGGCACAUUGUAAAUGGUGGCGGGUGGUUCCAAAUGGCUCUCGAGAGUACACUCCACCACGAAUAUGUGAGGUGCCUGUGCUCCCCCCGCCCCCGACGUGACAGGUAGAAACUGAUAUUUUUCCUAGUUCUAAUUUGCAUUGAUUUUCUUAGGCUAGGGAUUUUGAAUGACGUGUGUAUCCUAAGGGCCAGGCAGGAGCUAUGUUUCAUUUCCCACAGAAAGCCUCAGAUCACUGGCCUGGGCAGAGAGGAAUGAGAAGCUGGGGCACCUUCUUCAUGUCCUCAAGAGCAGCAAGUCUCUGUUCUGGUCAUUCAAACUCAGUGCCCUAAAAAUGACCAUUAUGUGACCUUGCAUGGCUCUGUGGGGUGGCGGGGCUCAGCUGGGUGGGUCUUCUGCUGCUCUUGCUUGGGGUCUCUUGAGAAGAUGGUCCUGGGGAUGAAGCCAUUGGAGGCUUGGCUCUGAUGCUGUGAUGGUCAGGCCUCGCUUCUCCUCCAGGUGAUCUCAGGGCCUGUCCCUCUCCAUGGGGCCUCUCCACCUGGACGACUUGAGUGGUGCUCAAAGCUCCCAAGGGAGCAAACACCGAGGCUGUCAGGCCUUCUUGAGGCGGAGGCCCAGAGUGGCACAGCCUCACCCCCACGGCACUCUCCUGGAAUGAGUCCCAGAUAGUCCACAAGGGUGUGAUGUUGGGUGACCGUGCUCUGGGCGUGGUGGAUCAGCUGCUGGACGGUGAGAGGCACUCCCUGCAGGGUAGGUGGACGGCUGCCCCCAGGGCCUUACACAGCAAGGCCAGGGGACGGCCACCCUGGCCGGUGAGCCCGACUUCCAGGCAAGGCGCCUUCCUUGCAUCCCAGCUUGUUUGGAGCCUCCAGGACAUCCCUACUGAGGGUCCCACAGGAGCCUGGGUCUGGACAGGGACCCUCUCACCUCAAGUCAGACACCUUUCAUCCCCAACAGCAGAGGGACUGAUACCUCCCCCUGGCUACCCUCUGUCGCCCGAAGCCAGCCCUGACUUUGUGCAGGCGCCACUCACCUUCCUGAGGGUCCACCUGCCUCCCAGCUGGCUGUGCUCCCAGCCACCCUCCCUGCACAUGAAUGGGCCAACGAAGUCCAGAUAGCAAUGUCUGCCCAUCACAUAUCCCCCAGCCUGACCCCAUAUCCAGCAUCCCAGCACCCACCCUGUUCUGCUGGCACCCACCUGCCUCAGCCCUGCUUCGUGGUGUCAGAGGCAGGCCUAUCCUCCUGGCACCUCGACCCAGGAAGCUGCUGGGCAGCGCCUCCAGCCAGGGCCCUCCUCCCCUGGGCUGAGGCUGUGUGGUGGGGUCACUGGAUGGGAGGGAGGGAGGCCUUGGGGCCCGGAGUACCCUGCCACUACCCAGCAAUUCCAGCUGAUGCCUCCACAUCUUUGGAGUUGGGUCUGAUUGGUGAUGGGUUGGGGGCUUCUCAGUGUUCUACAGUCCAAUACUGCCCAGCUCCGGAGGCUCCUAUUGUACCAGGAGCAGGUGUUGCAUAAGUGCUUUCUGAAGAUCAUGAGACACCUGGUGAGUGAACGAAACCCUGGGUCCCAUGGGCCAGGGGAGACUCGAGCCCCUCCUGGGGCUGGCAAGAGGCCGCGUCCCAGCCAUGGCCUGACCUGGGAUGGGGAUUCUCCAUGAGUUGGAAGUUGGGUUUCCUUUUCUUGCCCCAGAGGAUCCAGAGACGCUGGGACCAGGGCUGAGCUCUGGCUAAGCAGGGCUAAGGGAGUGUGUCCACCGGGCGUCGUGCACGGACGUGUUGGGAGACCCCUGGCCACCACCCAGGGUUCUGCUCCUUGAGGAAGGGUCUGCAGAGGGGCCUGAAAAGGGGGAUUGCAGGGCAGCUCAGGAGGCCCUGAGUACCUCUGCCUCUCCCUGCAGGGCAAGGAAGGACUGUGCAUUGAGUGUUUCAUGCUGCGGUGGCUCCUCCAGUGUUUCAUUGAUGGGGUAAGGAGGCACAGGGAGACCCCAGCCCAUGGACACAGUGCCCGGCUGCCCCAGCUCAGGGGUCCAGCUCCACCAGGAGGACGUGGCUCACCCCCAGCCCGUAGGAGGCACAGGCAGGUCCCUGCAUGACACACAAACCAGGCCCUGUUUGAGAGGGGGUAUCCCAUGGCAGAGGCCAGGGCUUAGGCCCAGCUUUAUGGGCAGACUGGACCAGGACCCGACUUGGGAGGGCCCAAGGAAGCCCAAAGUCCUCAGGAAGCCCCUCCUUCCAGAAGCAACAGCGCUGCUGAGGUGGGUCCCCCAUGAGGAGCUGCAGGACCUUGUCUGACCCUGCUUUAUAGGGGGCUCUCAUCCCAUGGAGAGGUGUUCCCAGCAUUCCAGGAGACUGAAACCCCAGGCGGCCCUGCUCAGGCCUCUGAGCCCAGCCCAGAAAGGCAGGUCCUCCCACACUUCCUGUCCCCACAAAAUCCUUCGGGCUCACCCUGCAACUGUGGGAUAUGCUCAUCUUGGAGGGCGAGCAGGUACUGUUGGGCAUGGCGCAUGCAUCAUUCAAAAUACAUGGGUAAGUCCUGUGUGCCCGAGGGUGCCAGGGGGAAUACACAGGACAGACCCCGGCUGGCCUGAGGGAAGUGUCCUUACACUGUCCCUAUGACUCUCUGCUCUGUCUUGAAGGGGGUUCUGGUCUGGUGGGCUGGGCAAGGCACGAUGACACUGAGCCCACCCCCCACAUGACCCAGAUGAAAGUCAGGAGUGUGGUGAGCACUUCCCUGCCUGGCCUUCCCCAGCUGUGGCCUCCUGUGCACAGCUGGACCCCAGGGUGGCCAAGAAGGACCACACACCACCCAGUGGGAGGUGGGCCUGGUGGAAAUGGGGUGCAGGCACUGAUCCCCCCACAAGGGAAUCCUCCUGGCCUGAUACCCGCCCUGUCCCUAGAGUGCCUCAUGAAGCUUUCCUGGAGCACCAUCUGGGAGUUUCAGGAGCGACUUUUUCAGAGCUGGGCCCCGGAGGACAACGUGGUCCUCAGGAACCUUCAAACCUCCGUGAAGGAACUCACAAGGAAACACUGGGACCUGCCACCCCCAGGUGGGCUCCAGCACCAAGUCUCCUCCCAAGUCACCCUCUGGGGCAGUCAGUGGUGGGGAGUGCCCUGGCCCUACCAGCCCUCCUACCUGGCCUUCCUCCUGCACCUCUUCCUCCUCUACUCUAAGAAAGUAAAAUGGGUCUGCCACUCCUCAGGGCAGGCACUGAGCGUGUGUGUGCGGGACAUGAGGUGCAGACAGGCAGGGGCUGUGGGCAGGACCCCCCAACUUCCCUCCCCCUCUUUCCACAUUGUCCCCAUCACCCCCUCAAAGGGCCCUGAAGGGCACUGGGGCAGUCAGAUCCAGGUGUGGAAGACCCCACCCCUGCCUCCAAGCAGCAGGAUCCCUCAUUCUUGAGUGCCCCUCCAAGCCUGUCAAGACAACAAGCCAGGAGGACAAGAGAGAAUCAGUGUCCCAGAUCCAGAGAGGAUUUGGGCAGAGGGCACGGGGGGAAGCCCUGACCCAGAGCCAGAACCAAGAGUUCAGCCGGGCAUGGGAUUUGUCCAGCCCUGGCAUGGGGUGGACGGCCUGGAGGGCAGAGGGAAACCCGUGCCCUUCACUUCUCACCCACUGUGGAGACAGACCCCAUGCGAGGUGGCAAGGGGGCUGGGUGACAGUGAAGGUCCCUUUCACCUGAGUUCUGAGUCAGGGCUGCUGAACAGCCCUGAGGUGAGGGAGGGCGUGAGGCAGGAAGCCCUGAGCCAGCCUGAAGCCUGGGAGCCGUUUCAGGACCGACCUGAGGUUCCCUGAAAGCUCCCCCACCCCAGGCUGCACACAGCCCUCACCCUGGGAUCAGCAGCUUGCAGAGGUGUCCUCAGUGUCAGGCCAGAGGACACCCGGGGACCCCAGGACUCCAGAGGCCCAGGGCUGUGGGCCCAGCCCUGGAGAGGCCCCUGAGGCCUCUGACCCCACCUGUGGGUCAGAGCCUGUCCCCCAGGGCCUGAGUCCCAGGCCCAGAGGGACCUGGCUUCAACUCGAGUUGUCCUAGGAGGACAGGGGCACUGCAGAUCUCCAGGUGACCACGCAGGGCACCAGGGCACUGCAAGCCCUGAUGCUGUAAGGAUUCACAUCAGAGAACCUGGGCAAGCCAGGCCAGAGACGCUGAGCCCGUGCAGUGAUGAGGAUGUGGAGGGCUGGCUCAAGGGGGUCAACAGCUGUGAACACUGCUGCCUCUUCCCGGCCUCAUUGUUGCAGUGCAGGCAGUCUGCACCCCGGAGCCUGGCCCAACAGCGCCCCGAGUGCCCUAGUCCACUAUGCCAACAUGGUACCCGGAGGCUUCGAGGCCCUGCCUGCUGCACCACCCGCCUCCUGGAGGCCUUGUUCUGCAGCCUAGCCCCUGCCGCAGCCACAGCAGGCACCACUGCCAAGUGCCUUCCAGCCGGGCUUCCCAGAGGACAGAGGCAUCCUGCAGUCAUUGCCUCAGCAGCUCACACUGUGAAGAUAGUUUCAUCCACAUUCCCAUGUUCCCACCAAAGAGAAUCCCUGCAGAGGGUGCUCUUGAUCCUGCGGUGGGGAAAACAGCACACUAGGUGGACUCAGCUCCUUUCCCUGGCCACCAUGAUUGCUGGAUGGGCCCACAAAGCAGCCAUCAGACAGGCAUGUUGGGGAAGAGCCUAAGCAAUCCUGCUUGUUCCCUGACCAGACCGACACCACUGCCGAGUGCCCCAUCUGCUGAUGAGAGAUUUGGUGUCGAUCCCUGGACUGGCACCAUUUCCCAGGAGGAGCGGCUGGCUACCUGUGGGCAGGCUGCCCACACUGUGGAGAGGGCUGAGAUCGGCCUUCACUACGGGGAGCCCCUACCUGGACAUAGACUCGCCAGCCCUGCCUGUUGCCAUCACAGCAGCCCACAUGGCAUUGCUUGUGACCAGGGUACCCCAUUCACAGUGACGGACAUGCAGCAGUGGCCCUUGACUAGGGAACUAACUCUUCUCGCUACGUCACCCACCGCCUGGAAGCAACUGGACUUAGGAUCGCUGUUAUGCUGAAGUGGUGAGGUUGUCUUACAAGAUGAAUUUUAUCCUUUCUACUGGAAGCCAGUGUAUGGUGAUGACUCCCCCACAACCAGAAGGUGUAGUUCUGAGUGAAGGUGUGAAAGUGGACGAUGUUCAGUGUUGCACCGAAUGUCUCAGUCACAAAGUUUUCCUAUUGCCUGUCCUGGAGAAAUGGAACUUUGCUGGUUGGAAGGUCUUAGGACCCAGGAAGAGUGAAGCUUCCCCCAGGGGAACACAACAAUGGUUCUAUUUAAUAUGAGGAGACAGGACUAAGUCUGAAACCUCGGGGCAUUCUCUGGUGUUCUUGAGUGUUUCCAUGUAAAGGAAGUCAAGUAACUUGCCACAAAGCUUUGCCACAGAAGCAUCUGAAAAAGGAGGGGGCAGAACUAUUCAGAACUCAGAGGUUUCAGAACCAAAGAUGAGGCCGAGAAGAUUCCUGACCCGCUGAGGGCAAGGGAAGUAUGUGGGGGCGGCUGGGAGAGGAUGUUAUAGAGUCCGCCAUGGCCUCGUGACCUGUCACAGAACCGUGCACUUUAAUAGCUGUGCACAUCUUCUCUGCACUGAUUAUAGUAUUUCUUUGCCUUUGCUACUCUCCACACAGGGAGCUUGCUACAAAAUGCACAUAACCACAGCCCGGGUCUUGCAAUCCAAGCCUGGCAAGGAUUCAGCAUGUCAAGGGCUUCAGGUCUGAAGGUCCAUGGCUGUCCUGAAUCCUGGAUAUCACCUUCUUGCCCAAAAAAGGAGGGACGAGGCUCAAACCGCAGCAGGCCACUCACAGAAAGGGACGAAACGUUGAGUGCGUGGCCUCCCUGACACCCAGACAAGACUUUGGGCCCAAAGCCAGGCUGCAGCUCUGGCCACUGACUCAGACCAGGGACGCCCCCAUGCAGGCCGGUGUCCCCUGGCCGCUCUUCUCCCUCCUGCCACCCUCUCUUCGGCUGCUUGUGUCAAUAAAAGGAAAACUGGCCAGUUCUCAGAGAAAAUGUAGCUUUAUUAUGACAUAGGAGAGACUACAAAGCACUGGGGGGGAGGAGGAGUGACACAGCUCCUCAAAAUGGAAGGGGAAAGGAAGAGUAAACAUCUUGGUAAAUAAAGUCUCCAACCACAGCACAGUCAUUGGAAUUUUUUUCUUCAUUUUUAUUUUCAAACUUACAGUAAACAAAACAAUCACUUAAAUUGUCAAAAGAACAGCAAUUUUACACAAUGAAGAGCAUACACACCAAGCCAAAAUACAAUAGCACUCAGGUCUAUAUGUUGCAGUGGUGCUGGCGCUGGAGGGAAUGCCCAGGGAGGCUGCAGUGCUCACCACGAAGCCCAGGUCCACGGAGGGAGCCAAGGUCCACAGAGGGCCCCGGGGCCAGAGGGAGGCCGCCCACACUCCCAGCACAUCACCUGCCUCAAAGCACUCCCUUCAGGCAUCUGAAGAGGGAAAGGCCAUGUGUCUUCCUGGGAGGCACUGAAAGGCCAGCCAGCAUCUCCAAAAUGCAGGCCAUUUUAACACUGCUGUGAAUGUGCUGGGGUCACCAAGGGGGCCCCUUAGUGGUCAGAUGCACUUUGUCACAAUGUACACCUACAUGGGGUGAUUACUAGGCAACGGGAGGUUUCCUGAAUUUCACAGCCAGAUGGGGAGCUAAAAGAAAUUCCUGAACCCAACGCGUAAAUAUUUUGUUCUGACAAAGUAAAUUCACAAGAACACAUCAAACACAAGACCUAAUGCAAGGGGCAGUGCCAGGGCCGCCGCCGCCUCCUGUGAGCAGCUCUUCAGCAGCAGGCAUCAGCUCUGCUGACAAGCUCAAUCACGGUGUCAUUUUACUGCCACCACGCCCGAAAGUAC
rnacentral:lncRNA from 1 species